GUCAAAUCUCAUUAUAACAACGAUCAUUCAUUGAGAUAAAAAAUAUUUCAUACUUGAAUGUUCAAUUGCACAAUACAUGCCAAAACUACUUAUGAAUUCACGUCCCAUAUAUGUAUGGGAAAUUUCUUCAGAAAGUAUAUAUAGCUCAAAGCUUACUAUUGACAGCCAAAUACUUGGUAUGGCGACCUUGUGCAACUAUCUUCCCCGUCUUUUUCUUCCUCAACUCAACAGUGACAGCAGCGAUUGACUUCCCAACUCGUAAUACUUUGGCUUCAAGUUCGAUUUCCUCUCCGAGAUAAGCAGCAUCCAAAUAUGAAACGCUGAUCUCAAGUGAUACACCAGUCAAUGGCGCACCUACAGUAUGAACAACAGCAGAACCCAUAAUAUCCACCAGAGUCGCCGUAGCUCCACCAUGUAGAAAAUUACCGGCAUUCACUAGACGAAGAGGGACUUUGAAUGAACAGAGAAUCCGACCCGGCUCAACAAGGUCAACCUUUAUCCCAUGGCAAACAAAGGGUUCAAUAAAUCUUGAAGGCAUGGAAUCCACUGAGGUUUCAUAGCUUCCUCCUCCUUUCUCCAAGAAUUUCUUCAACGAUUCGAUAUCCAUCUCAAUUUUGC
rnacentral:misc_RNA from 1 species